CGCGCUCCACACAGAUAAAUUAAUCUGAGCAUGAGGCCAUCCAACGGAGGAUGUAACACCAGUAGUUAAGUUGCUUGGGAUAUAGCAAACGUUGACUACAUCCAUGGUGU
rnacentral:sRNA from 1 species